AACGAACGCUGGCGGCAGGCCUAACACAUGCAAGUCGAACGCUCCGCAAGGAGAGUGGCAGACGGGUGAGUAACACGUGGGAAUCUUCCUGUUGGUUCGGAAUAGCUCAGGGAAACUUGGGGUAAUACCGGAUAAGCCCGAGAGGGGAAGGAUUUAUCGCCGACAGAUGAGCCCGCGUCUGACUAGCUAGUUGGUGAGGUAAUGGCUCACCAAGGCGACGAUCAGUAGCNGGUCUGAGAGGAUGACCAGCCACACUGGGACUGAGACACGGCCCAGACUCCUACGGGAGGCAGCAGUGGGGAAUAUUGGACAAUGGGCGCAAGCCUGAUCCAGCCAUGCCGCGUGAGUGACGAAGGUCUUCGAUUGUAAGCUCUUUUGCCAGGGACGAUAAUGACGGUACCUGGAGAAU
rnacentral:rRNA from 1 species